rfam:Triticum aestivum genome assembly, contig: Triticum_aestivum_CS42_TGACv1_scaffold_222637_3B
AGUGUACUCCCUCCGUCCCAAAAUUCUUGUCUUAUAUUUAUGGAUGUAUCUAAUACUAAAAGGUGACUUGCUACAUUUGUAUUUAGACAAAUCUAAGACAAGAAUUUUGGGACGGAGGGACUAGAUC